UUGAUCCCCUUGCUGUACAGUGGGAAAAUAAAAAAAAAAUAAAAAAGAAAGAUACAGAGAUGAUUAGCAUGGGUGUUGGACAAGGAUGAUGCGCCCAUUUUUAAACACAUUUCGUACUUUU
rnacentral:snRNA from 1 species